rnacentral:sRNA from 1 species
AAGGCUGUUUGGACUAUGGCAUUAGUCACCCCACUGUUUGCAAGGGUUGAUUGGGCUAACCUGGCCGGGUAGGCCAAUUUCCUCUUUCUCCAUCACCACUAUGUGUGUAUCCCUCCAAGAUCACUGAGCUCUGUCGAUGACUUCCUGCUUUACAAUGGAAGACCAUUCUCCAGCCAGGUAGAUAGAAGAAGCCACCCUUGUUUACUAGAACCUCUAGACAAGCUCUUAAGAUCACAGUUUUUGCAUCUUCUAAAUGUAAAGGAUGACUUUGCAAAUCAAGGACUAUUUCUUAGGAUUGGGGAGCAACGU